CCAGCUCCAAUAGCAUAUAUUAAAGUUGUUGCAGUUAAAAAGCUCGUAGUUGGAUUUCUGGGUGGGCGCUGAUGUCCGCAUGUUUGCGUGUGCAGAGCGCCCACCCAUCCUUAUGUUAACUUUUCUUGGUAUUCAUUUACUGGUUUAGGGCUCAUAUAUUUUACCUUGAGAAAAUUAGAGUGUUCCAGGCAGGCUUGCGCCGGAAUACAUUAGCAUGGAAUAAUAGAAUAGGACUUUAGUCUCCUUUGUUGGUUUGAGGGACUGAAGUAAUGAUUAAUAGGGAUAGUCGGGGGCAUUAGUACUUAAUUGUCAGAGGUGAAAUUCUCGGAUUUGUUAAAGACUAACUUAUGCGAAAGCAUUUGCCAAGGAUGUUUUCA
rnacentral:rRNA from 2 species